CUUUUGUGACCCAGUGGUGGACAAGGAAGACUGAUUUUUACAGGGCCAUAAAAAAAAGGUCACCCCCAUACAAAAAGGAUUGUCUUCGCCCCACGCGCUUUACAAGAGGACUGAGGAGGUGGCAUUUUGCUGUUACACCACCAGAGGGAGUCUGCUUCAAAAUGAGCAUGUUUAGCGGAGCGAAGCUAACCCUGUUCAUAAACCUAAAAACGUCCGUAUUUUACAGGAACAAAGAAAAAGCAAAUAAAAAGGUGGAAUAAAUAGGUGUCACAGACUGGAUACAGAUACGUGGAGGGAAGAGAAGCGACUUAGAGAUGAUUAAACAAGGGGAGAGAGAAAGAACAGGAGUCGAAGGACGGCGCGGUGGCAGAUGGAAGUGUUCUGCUCUGUUACUAAUGUUCCUCGGAAGAAUUAAAGUCCAGGAAGAGGUAUGCGCGGUGUAAAUGAGGAGAGAAUGAGGUCGAGCUGACGGAUGGAUGAGCGGAAAGCGGGAGAAAGACAGCGGCGACAAAGAAGGUUUGGUUGAAGGAGGGAGGACUGGCCGAGCUGAGGAAGUCUGAGCGCUAGAGAUGGAAAACCAGGGGGCAGGGACUGGCACAGCGUCCCCACCAUGACCCUCAUGUGGAGGAUAAAGUGGUAGACGAUGGAUGGAUUUCCUUGCUUCAUGAUUACACCGACAAACUUCCCAGCAUUCGUGUGAAACCUUGAGCUAAAUAGUGAAGCACUCGGACGAUUUGACGGCGUCCCGAGCCACCACUUAAACAUCCCUAUUCAUCUCAAACUAAAACCUGAGAGGGAAAUACCAACUUCAACUGCCAAGAGAACAAUUCGCAAAAGCCUUGGAAUGUCAGAUACCACUUGCCACUUACUGGUAAUAUAACACUUGCACGGAUGGAACUGGUGCUGAUGUCUCCCGCUGCCUGAUAUAAGAUGUCAUAACCUUGCAUCCUUGUGCGAAUAUUUCAGAACCAUCAAUCCAUUUGACCUUUUCUUUUUUGGGGACUCAGAUCCUUUCUCUCUAUUUCAUCUUCCUCGUCAAACAUUGCCGUGACAAUGAUUAUGUGUGUGUUUUUGAGUGAGAGAGAGAAAGAGAGAGAGACUGGAGAAGAAGAUGGAGAGAUUGAAAGAGGCCGCCCAUGAGUGCGUUCGCAUAAGAACCGGGGCCACCUGAGAGCAACGGAGCACAGAAUAGAGAAGAUGAGAGAAAAUGAAGAGACAAAAGCACUUCCCUGGUGUAAUUAUGCUUUCAUUUCAUGGCCAAGUAUCCACAUGAUGUGCCCUGCAUGCAGAGAUGCCCAUUAAAGUUACCGCACAUCAGAAGUAUAAGUGGCAUAUGUCUGUCGACGGCACGAGUGAAUGUAGACUAAUAACUGUGUGCAGGAGGCUUUUUUUUUUAUUUUACUUUAUUACAAAACAAAGAAUAUAAAGGUACUUUAUGGUACACUGACCACUUUAUUAAGCACAGCUGUUCAAAUUGUUAAUGCAUAUAACUUCAACGCUUGUCACAUGGCAGUGACAAGACAUGCGUGAUGACAAAUUUACUUACAACUGUUUUGUGUGCGACACACUCCUCUCUUUUUUGCCUCUUCGUGGAGCCGAUAUAUUUGGAUGGAAAUAUCCUGUCCCGUGACGCUCGUGAAGGCAAAGCACGGCAGCAAACAACAAAUCUUCUCAAAGCAUUACCACAAAUAAUAGCAAAGCUUAGGGCGAAUCAGCAGGACUUAAGCACUUUGGUGUGAAAUUUCCCUCCGCUGGUGAAACGGCAACAUCCUGAUGCUUGGAUCAAUGUUGCAACAAAUAAGGGUAACACAUCUGAGUGUGUGUGGUGUUGUCAUGCCCUACCGCACACACUUUUGAGGAGAAAUGGGAUGCUGAUGAAGGUAAAUGUGCAAACUCCUCAAGUCCUCUGCUAAUAUGGUAGAGAGAUUUUGGUUUAGUCCAUUGCUGUGAUCCAAGUUGGUCCUUAGAAAGUCUAACGGUGAAAAAAUAGUUGAUUACUACGUUUUAUCUGUGUGUAUCUUGCUGCUCCGCCCUGACCUCCUUUUAUCAGAUGGGCACUUGUUUCAUGCAUUUUUGUUGGAUGUUUAAACCAGGGGUCUCAAACUCAAAUGACCUGUGGGCCAAUGACUGUCUCGUCUGGUCAGUCGGGGGCCAGUCAAGUAAAAAAAAAAAAGCCUAACUUUUUUGGGAAAAGCAACAGUUGCGGUGGACGUUAUGAGCUCAAAAUUACAUAUCAAUAUGCCGUAUUAAUUCCUUUUUUCAUAUGUACUCUUGCCUCGUGUGAGCUUUUCUGUCUUUUAUCCAUUAUUCUGUACAGCACUUUGGUCCACUGUGUUUGUUUUGUGCUUUACAAAUAAAGUGCUUGUUUUAAUAUGCAACAAUAAAAAAAACAUUUAUGAUGCAAAAAUAAUCUAUUAAUUUCAAAAUAAAAAUAUAUAGAAAUGACUCGUUACAACUUGAUAUUGUUUGGAGGGCCACAUGAAAUCGUUUGGAGGGCCACAUGUGGCCCCCAGGCCGCCAGUUUGAGACCCCUGGUUUAAACUCUUUGUUGUAAUGGUUAUGUUUCUGUUUUAUUAAACCCCAAGUUUUUAUCCAUA